CACAGUAAUGAUUGGAAUUCCCGCCCAUACACCCACCCGAACCAAUUGCGAGUCAAUCUCAGCUGUCAAUCAUGAUGUUUCACCCCGUUUUUAUAGCAUCAAAUAACUAAUAAAAACCAAACUGAUC